rnacentral:rRNA from 1 species
AGAGUUGAUCUGGCUCAGGAUGAACGCUAGCGACAGGCUUAACACAUGCAAGUCGAGGGCAGCAUAAAAGAGCAAUACUUGGUGGCGACCGGCGCACGGGUGAGUAACGCGUAUGACAACCUAACCUAUCGAGAGGGGAAUAACCCGGCGAAAGUCGGACUAAUACCGCAUAAAACAGGGGCACCGCAUGGUGAUAUUUGUUAAAGAAAUUCGCUGAUAGAUGGGCAUGCGUUCCAUUAGGUAGUUGGUGAGGUAACGGCUCACCAAGCCGACGAUGGAUAGGGGAACUGAGAGGUUGGUCCCCCACACUGGUACUGAGACACGGACCAGACUCCUACGGGAGGCAGCAGUGAGGAAUAUUGGUCAAUGGGCGGGAGCCUGAACCAGCCAAGUCGCCGUGAAGGAAGAAGGAUCUAUGGUUCGUAAACUUCUUUUGCAGGGGAAUAAAGUGCAGGACGUGUCCUGUUUUGUAUGUACCCUGAGAAUAAGGAUCGGCUAACUCCGUGCCAGCCGCCGC